rnacentral:rRNA from 1 species
GCGCAGCAGUCGCGAAACUUCGGCAAUGCACGAAAGUGUGACCGAGCGACGCUGCGUGCAGGAAGAAGGCCUUCGGGUUGUAAACUGCUGUUCUUAAGGAAGAAUUAACCCGCCUUUGGCGAGCCUUGACGGUACUUAAGCAGAAAGGGGCACCUAACUCUGUGCCAGCAGGUGCGGUAAUACAGAGGCCCCAAGCGUUACCCGGAUUUAUUGGGCGUAAAGCGUCCGCAGGCGGAAUAGUGCGUCUGCUGUUAAAACAUUAGGGCUCAACCCUAAGCAAGCAGUGGAUGCGGCUAUUCUAGAGGUAGGAAGAGGUAAACGGAACUCCCGGUGGAGCGGUGAAAUGCGUUGAUAUCGGGGGGAACACCAAUUGCGAAGGCAGUUUACUGGUCCUCACCUGACGCUCAGGGACGACAGCGUAGGGAGUGAACGGGAUUAGAUACCCGGGUAGU